ensembl:misc_RNA Metazoa_SRP Metazoan signal recognition particle RNA
GCCAGGUGUGGUGGCGCAUGCCUAUAAUCCCAGCUACUUGGGAGGUUGAGGCAGAAGAAUCGCUUGAACCCGGGAGGUGGAGGUUGCAGUGAGCUGAGAUUGUGCCACUGCAUUCCAGCCUGGGUGACAGAGCAAGAUCCUGCCUCAU